AAAUGUUUGUUGUAACUUCCAUACUCAUGCUUGUACAUGUAGUUGUGAAUAAACUGUUAUUAUUAUUAUUAUUAUUAUUAUACAAACAAUUCGUAAACCUAACUCUAACCCUGACGUAGGCCUAACCCUACUAGGCUUACGAAUAUCCCGUUUCUUUAGAAUGUAUUUAGUAUGUAUUAGGUUGUUGUAUAUAGGUAAACUAACCACACAGCUUUAAUGUCUGCAAUGUGAAACAGACAAAUAGGUAUCAUAAUAACUGUCUACGUUAUUUGCUCCUUCACAAAGAAAUGCCCCCAAAUUUAACGUAAACCACACACCAUCAGUCCCCACUCUCUCCUGCCUAUAAAAUAAAGUAGUCAAUUUCAUAUUUUGAUUGUUUCUGCGUAGAAUUGUAAAGUUAAUUGUUGAGAUUAACCUUUGUCUUGGGUGAUUUGCACACGAUAUAAAAGUAACGUGAAACAAUACGUCACACGGAGAUUUAUUGACAUGGGAUAUUUUCAACACAGGACGCCAAUUUUUGUGCCGUGUGCAAAAUACCUUCACGCGCAUAAAUACACCAGGCGAGCAGACGCACACAAUCAGAUCACUAAAAACGCCAGAUCAAUAGACAGAGAAAAUAAACUGGAAAAGAUGUCGUCUGAAAAAGCAGCUUGUUGUUUGGCGGAAUAUGAAUGCUGUAAAACCAAAUCAUGUUGUACAAACGGACCAGCAAAUUGUUGUAGUCCUGGUAACAGCACAGAUUGCUGUAAAGCGCAAAAUACUUGUAAAUGUAGCGG